AACAUUGAGGGUGAGUGGUAAAGCGUUCGGCAUCCGAACCGAGUGUUCCGGGUUCGAAUCCUGGUGAUGAUU
rnacentral:tRNA from 1 species